CUUGUAUUGUUUGUGACAAGUGUACUAUAAAGUUCCAUCUUUUUUUGGAAGCAAAUCGUCUUUAAAAUUUGAUUAGAACUUUGAAGAAACAUAUGUUAUAUAAUAUACAGUGCGUUUUUAACAUGAUUGAACCCUGUUUGAUUCAAUGUGAAAGCAGAUUGUGGAUUCAGUUAUUUUCAUAUUUUACAUCAAAUUAUUUCAUGAGAAUGUAACUACUGCAGAUCUGGUAUACUGUUUUACAUGAAAAAAAUGGCCAUUUCACUGACUGAGUCCAUUCUGUAUCAGCCUUUAACACAUAUUAAAAAAACAAAUGUUUCUUAUCUUAUAAAAAAUUUUUACCCUUUAGGGGCACUUUAAGGCGAUAAACAGCUGUGUUCAUGGGUGGCAUCCCCUGUGUUUUUUGUCAGAUCCUUUUAGAAUGGUUAUACAAAGAGCAAGGUGUCCCCUGCACCCAAAUACCACCCCAUAUUUAG